AGAGUUUGAUCAUGGCUCAGAACGAACGCUGGCGGCAGGCUUAACACAUGCAAGUCGAGCGCCCCGCAAGGGGAGCGGCAGACGGGUGAGUAACGCGUGGGAAUCUACCGAGCCCUAAGGAAUAGCUCCGGGAAACUGGAAUUAAUACCUUAUACGCCCUUUUGGGGAAAGAUUUAUCGGGGUUUGAUGAGCCCGCGUUGGAUUAGCUAGUUGGUGGGGUAAAGGCCUACCAAGCCGACGAUCCAUAGCUGGUCUGAGAGGAUGAUCAGCCACAUUGGGACUGAGACACGGCCCAAACUCCUACGGGAGGCAGCAGCUAAGAAUCUUGCGCAAUGGGCGAAAGCCUGACGCAGCAAUUCCGCGUGGAGGACGAAGGCCCUCGGGUCGUAAACUCCUUUUGUGAGGGAAGAAGUUCUGACGGUACCUCACGAAUAAGACACGGCUAACUACGUGCCAGCAGCCGCGGUAAUACGUAGGUGUCAAGCGUUGUCCGGAUUUAUUGGGCGUAAAGCGCCCGCAGGCGGCUUGGUAAGUUUGAGGUGAAAUCUCCCGGCUUCAACUGGGAGGGUGCCUCGAAAACUGCUAGGCUUGAGGCAGGGAGAGGGAUGUGGAAUUCCCGGUGUAGUGGUGAAAUGCGUAGAUAUCGGGAGGAACACCAGUGGCGAAGGC
rnacentral:rRNA from 1 species